GGUGCUCGCUUUGGCAGCAUAUACUAAAAUUGGAAUGAUACAGAGAUUAGCAUGGCCCCUGCACAAGGAUGACAUGCAAAUUCGUGAAGGGUUCUCUAUUUUU
ensembl:snRNA U6 U6 spliceosomal RNA